AGAGCAUAUAGGGGAUGCCUUGGCACUAGGCGCCGAUGAAGGACGUGAUAAGCUGCGAUAAGUUGCGGAGAGGUGCACAUAACCUGUGACCCGCAAAUGUCCGAAUGUGGAAACACAGCACUGUUAAUACGGUGUUAUCAUUAUAGGAAUACAUACUGUAAUGAGGGGAACUCACUGAACUGAAACAUCUAAGUAAGUGAAGGAAAAGAAAGUAAACAACGAUUGUGGGAGUAGUGGCGAGCGAAACUGCAUGAGCCCAAACCAAAGGUAGAAAUACUUUUGGGGUUUUGGACCUCUAUUUAAGAGAAACGACGAUAGGUGAAGAUAUCUGGAAAGGUAUACGAAACAGGGUAAUAGUCCCGUAACCGAAAUUGAAGUUUCCUGAAGAGGCACCAGAGUAGCACAGGACACGUGGAAUCCGGUGUGAAUAUGCGAGGACCAUCUCGUAAGGCUAAAUACGACCUAGUGACCGAUAGCGAAUAGUACCGUGAGGGAACGGUGAAAAGAACCCCGGGAGGGGAGUGAAAGAGAACCUGAAACUGUAUGCUUACAAGCAGAGAAAGGACGACUCACCAUGAGGUGAUAGUUUGAUCUCGUACCUUUUGUAGAAUGGGCCGGCGAGUUACGAUACGUAGCGAGGUUAAGUGAUUAUGUCACGGAGCCGAAGCGAAAGCGAGUCUGAAUAGGGCGAACAUAGUUGCGUAGCGUAGACCCGAAACCCGAUGACCUAACCAUGAGCAGGAUGAAGCGCUGGUAACACAGCGUGGAGGUCCGAACACACGCCUGUUGAAAUAGUCGGUGAUGACUUGUGGUUAGAGGUGAAACGCCAAUCGAAUCGGGAUAUAGCUGGUUCUCCUCGAAAUAGCUUUAGGGCUAGCCUCUGACAAAAGAUUACUGGGGGUAGAGCACUGAAUAGGCUAGGGGCCUUCACGGGUUACCAAACCUUAUCAAACUCCGAAUACCAGAUAAUUGUUCUCAGGGAGUCAGACAGUGACGGAUAAGCGCCAUUGUCAAAACGGAAACAGCCGAGACCCACAGCUAAGGUCCCAAAGUUAAGUCUAAGUGGAAAAGGAUGUGUCAUUUCUAAAACAACCAGGAUGUUGGCUCAGAAGCAGCCAUUCAUUAAAAGAGUGCGUAAUAGCUCACUGGUCGAGAGAUGGUGCGCCGAAAAUUCAACGGGGCUAAAGACUUACACCGAAGCUUGGGAAUUAAGAUUUAUUCUUAAUUGGUAGAGGAGCAAUGAUUGCGGGCAGAAGCCAUAUCGUGAGGGGUGGUGGACUGCAAUCAAGAGAGAAUGCCGGCAUGAGUAGCGAAAGCAAGGUGAGAAACCUUGCCGUCGAAAGUCUAAGGUUUCCUGGGGAAGGCUUGUCCUCCCAGGGUAAGUCGGGGACUAAGGUGAGGCCGAAAGGCGUAACCGAUGACAAACUGGUAGAUAUUCCAGUACCACCAACACACGCCAAAGAGCGAUGCAGUGACACAGUAGGAUAGUUGAUACAACCCGGUGAUGGACAGCCGGGGCCAAAUCAUGAGGGGUCUAAUGAGUGAAGUACCAUAUAGAGUGUACCCUAGGUGAUGAUGGGGAGUGAAAUUUAGUAACGAAGACAAUGAAUUCACACUGGCGAGAAAAGCUGCUAAGUAGUGUGUGGGUGCCCGUACCGCAAACCGACACAGGUAGACGAUGAGAGAAUCAUAAGACGAACGGAAUAACUCUUGUUAAGGAACUCGGCAAAAUGACCCCGUAACUUCGGGAGAAGGGGUGCCAGCAGCUAAUACUGCUGGUCGCAGUGAAGAGUCUCAACCAACUGUUUACCAAAAACACAGGUCUCUGCUAAAUCGUAAGAUGAAGUAUAGGGGCUGACGCCUGCCCGGUGCUGGAAGGUUAAGAGGAGAGGUUAGCGCAAGCGAAGCUUUGAAUUUAAGCCCCAGUGAACGGCGGCCGUAACUAUAACGGUCCUAAGGUAGCGAAAUUCCUUGUCAGGUAAGUUCUGACCCGCAUGAAUGGCGUAAUGAGUUGAGAGCUGUCUCAACAGGAGAUCCGGCGAAAUUGAAGUAUGCGUGAAGAUGCGUAUUACCCGCGACUAGACGGAAAGACCCCGUAGAGCUUUACUGUAAUUUGACAUUGAGUUUUGAAUUAUGAUGUACAGGAUAAGUGGGAGGCGUUGAAACAGGUUCGUUAGGACCUGCGGAGCCAUCCUUGGGAUACCACUCUUUGUGAUUUGGAAUUCUAACAUUGUGCCGUAAUCCGGGCAGUGGACAGUGUCUGAUGGACAGUUUGACUGGGGCGGUCGCCUCCUAAAAUGUAACGGAGGCGUUCAAAGGUUCCCUCAGGAUGGUUGGAAACCAUCUGUAUAGAGUGCAAAGGCAGAAGGGAGCUUAACUGCGACACCUACAAGUGGAGCAGAUAGGAAACUAGGACUUAGUGAUCCGGCGGUAGAGUAUGGAAUUGCCGUCGCUUAACGGAUAAAAGUUACCUCGGGGAUAACAGGCUGAUCUCCCCCAAGAGUUCACAUCGACGGGGAGGUUUGGCACCUCGAU
rnacentral:rRNA from 1 species